rnacentral:rRNA from 1 species
GACGAACGCUGGCGGCGUGCUUAACACAUGCAAGUCGAACGGAAAGGCCCUGCUUGCCGGGUACUCGAGUGGCGAACGGGUGAGUAACACGUGGGUGAUCUGCCCUGCACUUCGGGAUAAGCCUGGGAAACUGGGUCUAAUACCGGAUAGGAGCCAUUUUUAGUGUGAUGGUUGGAAAGUUUUUUCGGUGUAGGAUGAGCUCGCGGCCUAUCAGCUUGUUGGUGGGGUAAUGGCCUACCAAGGCGGCGACGGGUAGCCGGCCUGAGAGGGUGGACGGCCACAUUGGGACUGAGAUACGGCCCAGACGCCGACGGGAGGCAGCAGUGGGGAAUAUUGCACAAGGGGCGCAAGCCUGAUGCAGCGACGCCGCGGGGGGGAUGACGGCCUUCGGGUUGUAAACUCCUUUCGCUAGGGACGAAGCUUUUUGUGACGGUACCUAGAGAAGAAGCACCGGCUAACUACGUG